rnacentral:rRNA from 1 species
GAUGAACGCUAGCUACAGGCUUAACACAUGCAAGUCGAGGGGCAGCAUGAUUGAAGCUUGCUUCAAUCGAUGGCGACCGGCGCACGGGUGAGUAACACGUAUCCAACCUGCCGAUAACUCGGGGAUAGCCUUUCGAAAGAAAGAUUAAUACCCGAUAGUAUAGUAUUUCCGCAUGGUUUCACUAUUAAAGAACUUCGGUUAUCGAUGGGGAUGCGUUCCAUUAGAUAGUUGGCGGGGUAACGGCCCACCAAGUCAACGAUGGAUAGGGGUUCUGAGAGGAAGGUCCCCCACAUUGGAACUGAGACACGGUCCAAACUCCUACGGGAGGCAGCAGUGAGGAAUAUUGAUCAAUGGACGAGAGUCUGAACCAGCCAAGUAGCGUGAAGGAUGACUGCCCUAUGGGUUGUAAACUUCUUUUAUACGGGAAUAAAGUGGAGUAUGCAUACUCCUUUGUAUGUACCGUAUGAAUAAGGAUCGGCUAACUCCGUG